GACGAACGCUGGCGGCGUGCUUAACACAUGCAAGUCGAACGGAAAGGCCCUGCUUUUGUGGGGUGCUCGAGUGGCGAACGGGUGAGUAACACGUGAGUAACCUGCCCUUGACUUUGGGAUAACUUCAGGAAACUGGGGCUAAUACCGGAUAGGAGCUCCUGCUGCAUGGUGGGGGUUGGAAAGUUUCGGCGGUUGGGGAUGGACUCGCGGCUUAUCAGCUUGUUGGUGGGGUAGUGGCUUACCAAGGCUUUGACGGGUAGCCGGCCUGAGAGGGUGACCGGCCACAUUGGGACUGAGAUACGGCCCAGACUCCUACGGGAGGCAGCAGUGGGGAAUAUUGCACAAUGGGCGGAAGCCUGAUGCGGCAACGCCGCGUGCGGGAUGACGGCCUUCGGGUUGUAAACCGCCUUCGCCUGUGACGAAGCGUGAGUGACGGUAAUGGGUAAAGAAGCACCGGCUAACUACGUG
rnacentral:rRNA from 1 species